rnacentral:rRNA from 1 species
UACGUAGGGUGCAAGCGUUGUCCGGAAUUAUUGGGCGUAAAGAGCUCGUAGGCGGUUUGUCGCGUCGAAUGUGAAAACCCGGGGCUCAACUCCGGGCCUGCAUUCGAUACGGGCAGACUAGAGUUCGGUAGGGGAGACUGGAAUUCCUGGUGUAGCGGUGAAAUGCGCAGAUAUCAGGAGGAACACCGGUGGCGAAGGCGGGUCUCUGGGCCGUAACUGGACGCUGAGGAGCGAAAGCGUGGGGAGCGAACAGG